GCAUACCAUUUGCAAAAGAAGACAACCCAAGGUAAUGUAAAUGGGAUAUGUUCAGUCUUUUUUAGUAGCCACUUAGUCACAAACAAUGGCCAAAGUUAGCGUUCAUAAUUGUUUUUUUAAUUUUUCACACACUAACAAAUAAAUGCUAACUUUGGCCAGUGUUUGUGACUAAGUGGCUACUAGAAAAGACUGGGCAUACCCCAUAUUGAAUACCCUGGGUUAUCUACUUUUAAAAAAUAUAUGGUUUGC